ACGUAGGGUGCGAGAGUUAAUCGGAAUUACUGGGCGUAAAGGGUGCGCAGGCGGUUUUGUAAGCCAGAUGUGAAAUCCCCGGGCUUAACCUGGGAACUGCGUUUGGAACUACAAGGCUAGAGUGUGUCAGAGGGGGGUAGAAUUCCACGUGCGCCAGCGACAGGGAUAGCGAUGUGGAUCAAUAACGAUGGCGAGGGCAGCACCAAGUUAUAACACUGCCGGUCAUGCGGGUAAGUGUGGGGACCAAAAAG
rnacentral:rRNA from 1 species